GACGAACGCUGGCGGCGUGCUUAACACAUGCAGGUCGAGCGGUAAGGCCCUUUCGGGGGUACGACGAGCGGCGAACGGGUGAGUAACACGUGGGUGACCUCGCCCUCAGCUCUGGGAGUAAGCCCGGGAAACCGUAGGGUCGUAAUACCGGAUAUGACUUCAUGACGCAUGUUGUGGAGUGGAAAGCCUUGUGCGGCUGAGGAU
rnacentral:rRNA from 1 species